rnacentral:snoRNA from 1 species
GUCCUCUCGGGAUUGCACCUGGAGAGUUUCCAGUACUCUACCAGUCUCAGCUAAGGGAGGGAGAAUCAAGCAGAGACAUACCCAUUCCAUUCCUAGCGUGGGCAGUGGCUAGCGAGUGGCAGGCAAUCUGCUAAAAGU